ensembl:lncRNA
GUAUAAAAGAACUUUAGGCUGUUUUCAUGAUAUGAAAUAAAACAUUCAAAAGGUAAAAGUAUGAUUUUAAAGCUUGUUGAAAUUUAAAAAAAAAAUAGUAACACAUAUAAUCAUAGUUUCACUCUGAUUAUGUGAAGUUUUACAAGAAACAUUGUUAACAUGCUGACAGCUGGGUUUGUGUUAUUCAAUUCAGUUCAGUUCUAUUUACACAGCGCCAAAUCACAGCAACAGUCGCCUCAAGGCGCUUUAUAUUGUGAGGUAGACCUACAAUAAUACAUACAGAGACAAACCCAACAAUCAUAUGACCCCCUAUGAGCAGCACUUUGGCGACAGUGGGAAGGAAAAACUCCCUUUUAACAGGAAGAAACCUCCAGCAGAACCAGGCUCAGGGAGGGGCGGGGCCAUCUGCUGCACCGGUUGGGGUGAGAGAGAAUUAUAAAAUAAAACAUUUCAUUUUCAUGUUAUUUUGACGUAUUUAUCAGUUUUUUCCUUCUAAAACAAUAAAUCAUCUCAUCGUAAGGAGAAAACACAGAGUACAUCCAAGUACGAAUUGGUUUUUACGAUGUUGCUUUUCAUGGUUUCAUGGGCUGUUAAAUCAUCUGUUUGGGAAUAAUAGCCUUCAAACAGUUAUUUUAUUAUUAUCAUUGUUUUAAACUAAACGUGAAAGAUGGUUUUAAAGGCUCAGUGUUUUGGUGGUCAGAAACCUUCAUCAAUGAACUGCACGGGGGCAUCACUCAGACAUGCAUGCCUGCUAAUUACAGCUAAUUAACAGGCUGAUAAAGAAGACGAAAGCACAAAUCUCUCAGAAAGUCCUGUUAGAGUUAGAGAACUUGUGUUGCAGACACAUUUUAGUCUGUAGUGACCUUGGUCGUCGUUGGCCAACCUUUGAUUCCAUCUUCUAAUAACGAUCUUAUAAAUGUAGGUCAUCAAACUAUUUUCAACACAAAUGGACACUUUGUCACUGCAGUAAGAAACCUGCCAUAUAUGUCUCAUGUUUACAUUAUUACUUGUAAAAACGGAAUCUCAUGAUAGCAAGAAAAAAUGUCAAAUAUAAAAAUGAGAAGUUAUUUUUCUAUUGAAACGUUUUUGUCAUAAUUUAGUAUAAGAAAGUAUUUUAAUCUCUGAUAUUCUGAUCAUGAUGAAAAUGUAUUCGUGUUGAACCUCGCAGUGAAGAGGCUCGCCAUUUUUACAGAAGUAUAGAAAUGAAACCACCUCUUCCUCCUCCUCCUCCUCCUCCUCAGGUGACCUCCCAGUGGCCUCAUUUGUUCUCCAUGUUCAUAUUUAGUCUUUCUAACCAUCUCUGAGGACUUUAAAGGACCUGCUCUCCCUUUUCCUGUUGUUACUAAACGGAGACUGAAGCGGACGCCACAAACUUUCACGCCGACCACUCUGACAUCACUGCUGAUGCAAAUGUGAUGUUGCUUUUUUCCCCUUCGCUAACUUGGGUGUCGGUUACCGUAGUGACCGACAGCUUUAUUGAUGACAGAGCUACAGUUGUACUAACCUGGUGACUGACUACAGUUCCCAUGAUGCAAUGCAGCAGCCCCGAAGUGAAGAACAUGAGAGUUCACGGAGAUCUGGUUCGGUGUUUUGGUUUUUUUAACGCUUCAUCGUCCAAUCACGUUGUACCUACACACCUUCCUUUUGGUUCAGUUGUUUCGUCCGCUCAGCUGAGUUUUAAAGUAUUUUUUUUUCAUCUAGAUCAACAACGGAACAUAUAAAAUGUAAAUUGUAACUGUAGAAAAGCACGACUGGAUUCACACAGGAAGUCAAAACAUUGAAAUCAUGUAUUUUUGAGUUUCCACGUCUGAAUAUUAACGCUGAGUGUUGAGAGAAGAUCACCGUCAGUACAGCUGGACAGGAAGUGAUUUCAGGCUAAGCCCAGGUGUCCCCUCAGAUACUCUGGCUCUGUCAGAUAGUUUUCUUACUUGCAUCUGGUCCCGCUUGUGUUUCUUAUAUUUCCCAGAAUGCUGUUCAGCUGUUCGUUUUAUUACUGCAGUGGACCUGUUCUGCGUUUCAGUAUUUUCUGUAACAUAUCAGCUAUCCAGUAUUGGAUGUUCAUAUUAAACAUGGCCAAAGUUCAAAACACAAAGGUCAGUGUGUACAAAUAAUCACCGCGAGCGCUGGGCUUCAGACUCUCAACAGUCAGUUUCAGCCCAUUUUUUCAGUGCUUGGGUCUGUGUGAUGUCAUAGAGAGGAAAUAUCCCUAACAUUGUCAUCGCAGGCACAGCCUCACCCACCUGCAGCAGAAACAGCAGAAAUCUGGAUUGUAGGAGCUAAAACAGGCAGUGAACCGAGCACCACGGCCCUGUUUGACAUAAAGAAGGAUUAUUUUGAACUUGGACUCAGGAAAAGCUGCUCCAGAGAGUCCAGGGCUGAAAAUGUGGAGCUGGAAAUUAGCAGAACAGAUGUCGGUGAACUCGGUGAUCCAAAUUAUUCGUGACCUAUUAUUCCCUGAAGUUAGCAGUCAUACGUUAUAACAGUCUGUGUAAUAUCAUUUUUUAAAAAGUUUGGAUUUACUGUAUAUGGAGUACCGAACAGCUCAAGGGUCAAGAGGGAGAGCACACAGUGACCUAACAUGAUAUCACAACACCACAGUGAGACCACUGUUCAUUGGCUAAUCUGGGCUUUUAGAAAAAAAUCAACACAUUACAUCACGUUAAUGUCAUAUCAGAGUUGCCAUGAUGAUGAGUUCUGGAGGUGAUUUUCUUCCUUCCUGUGUGAAUGCAGCUGUCACUCUGCUGUCUGUAGACGUUUUUUCUUUCUUUCUUUAACCCCAAAGUGUAUUUUGCUCUGCGGUGCUAUUUGCUGUCUAACAGAUAUCUAGGAAAAACCUUCUGGUUGUGUUUGAAUGUAUUUGUAAAUGUGUAGGCGUGUCUUCUGAAGACGCACACGAGAACCGGACCGAUGUGGUCCAGCUGAGCCUGGACGGACGCGCACAUACACACCUUCACUUUAUCCACACGCACGCACACACACACUGAAGGACAAACUGCAGAGCACUUUGAUUGGAGGAUGCAGGGGACGAAUGAACCAAUGGAGGGUUCGUGGUGAGGCAUGAUGUAAAGCUGCCAUGUGCAGCCAGUUAAUACUGAUCUAACACACCUGUACAGUCACCCACUGACCUGUGGAUACAGUGAUUGGUUUUAGUUUGUGAAUAAAGUGUUGAAUGCCAAACUGUGCCUUUUCUGUCCAAAGUGUUUUUGUCUGCAACCUAUCCCAGAAUUUGGCUACUGAACUGAACAUGAUAUAUAAGUGACUUAGAUAACUUCUAAA